UAUUGUGUGAAAUGCUUGUCAGAGGUAAAGCACCAGCGAGGCCCACCUUGUACACGAGUUUCCCUGGGAGAGAAGCCGGCUGGAGCAGUCCCAGCGAGAGCCAGCGUCCACCCUCCGCGGAGGCAGCGUGCUCGGAGCGAGGGCCAGCUGCAGCCUGAGCCACCUCAGCAGACAUAAUUAUAUCAUCACACCUUUCUGCAAAAUGGGCAUACGAGCGCUUCCCUAACUCACAGCAGUAGAAGGACGUUGCACGGAGGCUGGGGCGUUGGUGCAGAAGCGGCUCCUGAGAGCCCCGGGCCGCAGCAUGGCCCCGCAGUGGCCUGGCCACGGCAGCUGCUCAGUGGGGUGAGCUCCGAUACCUUCCUGGUGCUCCCGCGUCCUUCCCCGAGGAAAAGCCUCCCAGCGAGGGCAGCCCCUGGCACUCCUUGGAGGCCGGUUCGCGUUUGGGAAAGGCGGAGAAGACGCUGCGGUCUGGCCAUUGCCCCCUGACAGGACAAGACGGGACAUGGCGGCCCAACGGCCUCACCGCCGCCGCCUCCUCCCCGGCCCAACGGUUUGCAGGGCCCACGGCACCCCGGGGCCGGCCCCACGCAUGCAGUGCACGGAGAUCCUUUAUUAAUUGUUUGUGUGUUUAUUUAAUGAGGUGUGGAGCAGCCUCUAGUGGCGGACGGCGGGCAGGAGCUCCGCCACGGGAGGCCUCGCGCGGCUGCUGCCAGGCAGCGACGGCCCCGGCUCCCGACGCCCACCACCCUUCGCCUUCCCGCCCCGGCUCCUCACAGCCCCCAGGCGCCUGCGGCGGGACGGCCUGGCGAAGCGGGCUCGCCCCUGCCCUCGCCGAGCUGCGAGGCUUCCCCCACCCACAGUUACUGUACCUCCUGCCAAGUCCCUGACGGGCGAGUCCAUCCUGGAGGCGGUCUGGGAUGGGCGGCGGUGCCCCCGAGGGAGGGGAGCCAUUUUGUGGGCAGGUGGGCCCGCACGCCCUGGCCCGCCGCAGCGACAUGUCGUUUCCUCUUUUCUCCUUUCCCUUCAUCCCAGGCACAAAUUCACCGGUCCCGGAUACAGGCGGGGGGAACCUCCCCCAGGACGGGGGGCCCCGGCCAGGCUGGCACCGAGGUGGCUCCAUGGCAGCCUGCUCCUGCCGCUGCAGUGCCCCGAGCACUCGUGGGAUUUCAGGGGAUUCGUCCUCAAAAACACCACAAAUCCGGGCUUACAAGGUGCCGCUAAAAGAGGGCCUGAUAUGGGAGGCGAUAAAAGGCUGCACUGCAGCUCAGCAGAGGUGAACAGCAAGACAGCAAACUCUUGUCCAGGCUGGUUUGCAAAUACGGAUCUAGGCUCCCAUUUUAGUCUUCUAUAUGGUAAUGGGCAAUUUUCCUAAAAUAAAGAUAUAAGCAGUUUUA